rnacentral:lncRNA from 1 species
CAGCAGGUUGAGGGAACCUGCUAUCCUGUUCCUGGUCAGCAAAACAGGCUGAAAGCUGAGCUCUGUUUCUGCUCUUCUUGAAGCCCAGGAAUCAGUAAAUUGAGAAGAAGAGGAAUCAGAGCCUGAAGAAAGGAGAGAAAGAGCAGCAGGAGCCAGCCAAGCCCUGGAAACUCUGCCUGGUAUGCUGGGAUGUACCUGGUGAGCACUGACC